GUUUUUAUUACAGAAAAAGCAAAAAAAAUCUAUAAUGAAAAAGACUGAAGGGAGAGCAGCUCAUUAGGUAAAAUAGAUGAGUGGAGAUCACAUUAUUUUCAAUAACAUGAAAAUGAGACACAAUUUAAAACAGGGGUGAGGGAACAGGAACGACGACACUGCAAUCUUGAAUUAGGAGAAUUGUAAAUAUGACAGAUCUGCU